AACGAACGCUGGCGGCAGGCUUAACACACGCAAGUCGAGCGCCCCGCAAGGGGAGCGGCAGACGGGUGAGUAACGCGUGGGAAUCUACCCAUCUCUACGGAAUAACGCAUGGAAACGUGUGCUAAUACCGUAUACGUCCUUCGGGAGAAAGAUUUAUCGGAGAUGGAUGAGCCCGCGUUGGAUUAGCUAGUUGGUGGGGUAAAGGCCUACCAAGGCGACGAUCCAUAGCUGGUCUGAGAGGAUGAUCGGCCACACUGGGACUGAGACACGGCCCAGACUCCUACGGGAGGCAGCAGUGGGAAUAUUGGACAAUGGGCGCAAGCCUGAUCCAGCCAUGCCGCGUGAGUGAUGAAGGCCCUAGGGUUGUAAAGCUCUUUCACCGGUGAAGAUAAUGACGGUAACCGGAGAAGAAGCCCCGGCUAUCUUCGUGCCAGCCGCCGCAGUAAGAC
rnacentral:rRNA from 1 species